rnacentral:rRNA from 1 species
UACAGAGGGUGCAAGCGUUGUUCGGAAUUAUUGGGCGUAAAGGGCGCGUAGGCGGUUCGGCAAGUCUCUAGUGAAAUCUCAGGGCUCAAUUCUGAGUCUGCUGGGGAAACUGCCGGGCUUGAGUGUGGGAGAGGAGAGUGGAAUUCCCGGUGUAGCGGUGAAAUGCGCAGAUAUCAGGAGGAACACCGGUGGCGAAGGCGGGUCUCUGGGCCGAUACUGACGCUGAGGAGCGAAAGCGUGGGGAGCGAACAGG